UAAGAUAUCCAGGUGCUCCUGGGAGUAGACAGUGUUGGAGGUGAGAGGGGCUGAGGAGGGGGUUGAGGUUUGGUGAGUAAGCAUGUGCCUGAGCUUGCUGACACGUGUUGCAGCCCCCGUGUUCCCCUCCCUCCUGAUCCCCUCCCUCUUUUUUCUUAAAUUGUAUUACUGGUGUGUGUGUGUGUGUGUGUGUGUGUGUGUGUGUGUGUGUGUGUGUGUGUAAAGCCAACCUCAUGCAUUGUCUGUCCCUCAGGUACCAUCCACCUUGCUUUCUGAGGCAGGGUCUCACUGAUCUGGAGUUCCAGAAUUAGACCAGGUUGUUGGUCUAGGGAGCCCUGGGCAUCUACCUGUUUCUGCCCUGAGAUGGUUAGGGCAGGACCAUGACUGGCUUUUAAAAUGUGGGUUCAGGGGGUCAGAUUCAAGUCCUCAUGCUUGCAAGACCAGCCUGUUACAGAUGGGGCCAUGUCUCUUGAUCCGGGGUCAGUAUGUGCGGAAUGACUGGGGGCUGCGUUAGGCUUAAGGACAGAGGUGGGUCAGGAGCUCAGCCACAGCACAGGGAGACCAUACUGGAGCUGUGGUGUGUUCGUAUCAGCCCUUUUCUCUGCUCCUGCAGAGCUGGGGCAGGGGGCUGGACUAGGAUGCUGAGGAUGGCUCCUUAAAACCACAGCUUGUGUCUGUCUCAUGCCUUGCUCCUGGCUGGCACCCCACCUUUCCCCUGGCCCCAGCUGUUUCUGGGGCCCCUUUGUUCCAUGCUCCUUGUAUAGUUUCUCCCUGGAACUCCACUCUCAGUCAUGAUAUUAGUGCAGGGGGAGGGGUGGAUAGUGGGAUCCCCUACCUACUGUUUUCAAUACCUACUCCUCAAGGUAAUUUUUUUCUUCACCCAGCCUCUGACUUCCUGACCCCAGGAGGUGCAGCUGAGUGACAGUCAGCUUCCCACGCACCCCAGAUCUCCCACGUUUGAAGGCUUGUUUUGACUCCUGGCUUCAGCCAUUUCAGUAUAUGGUCACUUGGUCUGUAUGGGUACAGUAGGUCAUAGCGGGAAUGCACUGUAGAGGAUGUUGCUUACCUCAUGCAGCCGGAAGGCAGAUGCAGCAUCCCCUUCUAGGACCUGUCUCCCAUGACCUCACUUCUUCCCUACCAUGUGCCGUGGAGCCGGGUUCAGCUUGUGGGCCUCUGGCACAGUGUGUGGAUUGCAUCUCGAGGCUGGCAAACUCCCAGGGGUUGGGAGGCAGAGAGGUGGAGUUCUCUGAGUCUGAGGUCAGUUUGGUCUACACAGUGAGAGCCUAGUCCCAAUCCCCACCCCAAACCCCAACGACCAAAAAAAAAUAAUAAUAGCAAAAACAAAAAACAACCAACCAACCAAAAGAAAAAUCACUGUCUGGCGUACUCUAUGAUCCAUUAAUAAAAAUCAGGGUAGUAGCUUCAGCUUGGGUUCCAAUCACCCAACAUAAAUAGACCUUGGGAUCCACGCUCAGUUCUGAAUACACCGGGCACUGUGGGACACACUUAUGAUUCCCAGAACUUAGGAGAUAGAAGCUGGAAAACCAUAAGUUUAAGGUCACCCUCAGCUAUGUAGUGAGUUGGAGGACAGCCUGAGAUACACAGGGACACAGUCUUAUUUUGGGAAAGAGCAUCAGGGAGAAAAUGGGAGCUGUCACUGUACUACUUUAAACUGCCCCAGGAGUCACUUGCAGCAUUUAAUGCCAAACACUUCAAUCUAACUCCAACCGGACAUGACAGGACACAUGGCAGCGCCUAACAAGCUGGAAAGGUCUUGUGCCACCAGCUGGGGAUCAUGCGCUCAGAGCACGAGCUCGUGUGGGAUAUUUCAGACUGAAAUCAUCGCUGGCAGGAAAACUGCCAUCAGUAAGGCAGGGGCCAGGAUAGAACCAGAGAAGCCGGCUGAUGACCAUCCGCAGACACCAUUAGGAGCCUGCCGCCUUGGAGCGUUGUGGAUGACCUGAACUCUGGAACAUGGGUUGGGAAAUUCCCACCGUGGCCUUGCUGCGGCCCCCGGGGCCUUACAGGUUUCCAUGGAUUACCCAACUCUCGAGCUACGUAAUUCUGGAUCACAAAGGAGCUUCGAGUUUUGAGGUCUUGUGGUGACUUCCAGAUGUUCAGAAAACCAAACCGCCCACCAACAGCUGCAUCACUCACUCUCCACCACCUCCACCCUCCUUUGGCCUUUACUCCCCCCAACUCCUGUUCCAGAGCCCUACCCUUAGAGACUUCUCUGAAGGGCACAGACUACAUCAGCUCCCUUGGCGAGCCUCCGCUCAGCCUUGCCUCCCUGGACUUGUUAAAUUAUCCUGCCUUCUGACUAAAGUAAAAGAAACCCAGCACUCUCUGCUCACGUUCUGUGCAGGGUCCUCAUAGCAGCCAUGAGGCUGAGGCCAGCCUUGGUGAGGUGACCUCAGGAGGGCAGCUUUGAAGAGGAAGGCAAGCCUAAGUUGCUUAUUCAUUGGCAGACUAAUCAUUUGCUCAGAACUUCUGUGUGGGUUGCUUAGACUCCAGAAUGAAGACAUCAGGAUUGGGCUUUCAGUGGGGUAACACUCAUUGUCACCAGACACACAUGCUAUUGGCUCAACUUGGAACUGCUACAGGAGGCACCCAGAAGAGCCACCAGGAUUCCUAAUCAUUCCUGGAGAGACCCACCAGCGAUCUGGAUGAAUGUGGACAGAACCUUUUAGGGUGGGAGACCGAUGAGGUGUCCCGGCUUGGCUGAGCAAUCUGCUUGGCACGGAAGAGGACUGUGACUGAGCAUGCCCGACAGUAACUUCUGAACCCUGCUCCUGUAAAGUUAAUACUGGCUGCUCUUCAUGGGCCCAGUUGACGCUGUGUGGUGGACCUCCGUGUUCAUUCCAGCUUAAAUGUGAAACGCACUCCCCCACCCAGGCUCCUGUGUUUGAACGCUUGGUCUCCAGCUGGUGGUGCUGAGUAGAAACAUUGCAGAACCUUUAGGGGGUGAGGCCUCCACGGAGGAAGUGGGCCCCGGGGGAUGGGUUUUAUGAGUGAUACAUUGUAGCUUUCGGUCUCCAUGUUUCUUUGCUUUCUGGUGCGUCUCAGCUGCUGUGCGUCCUGUCACGGAGAACUCCACCAUACUCUUCCCUUCAUGGCGGACUAUGACUGUACCCUCUCAGACAGAGAGCCAAAGCACACCUUUCCUUCCCUCAGUGGAUUCUGUCAGGGGACAAAAGCUGCCAAUUCUAUGCUAGCCCCUCCAGGCUUAGGCAGCAAGAUUCCCACUCCGAGGAUGGUUUCUUGGGUUCUUCCUGUUCUCUUCUGCCCAUUUUAAUGGCUAGGAAAAUUAGAGGCAGAUAACCCUGGUCAAAUUCUUUUUUUUUUUGGUUCUUUUUUUCGGAGCUGGGGACCGAACCCAGGGCCUUGCGCUUCCUAGGUAAGCGCUCUACCACUGAGCUAAAUCCCCAGCCCCCUGGUCAAAUUCUUGAUGAGUAAGUCAGUAGUUCCCGUGGAUGUGGUGGUGGAGACAGACCUGGUGCUGCUGGUUAAAAGACGCAUGGCUCUGGCUCACUAUCUGCAGCACAGCUGUUAGCUUCCCUGCAGGGGCUGAUAGUGACGUGCAGAGUCAUGCUACCAUACCGUGGUGGCUAGAAAACAUUAACCAGAUCAUCAUAUUAUCUUGGUUGCUAAGGCUACAUAUUCCAGGCCUUGUUGUCCAGGCCUGUGAUCUUAGCACUCAGGAGGCUGAGACAGGGAGAUAUCAGGUUUGAGGUUAGCCUAGGCUACCAGAAUGAGUUUAAGGCCAACCUUGGCAACCUAGGAAAGGCCUAGAUCAAAACAAAAAAAUAAAAACAGGGCUGUGGAGAGCUCAUUGCUAAAGAAUUUGCCUGGCAUAAGGUUCUGGGUUCCAUAUCCAAUGCAGGAAAAAAGGAAACAAAAAAAAAUGCAUUAAAAACCCUUAAAAGCCACAAAUGAGGCCAGCCUUAUUUCACCAGACCCAGGGCCUGGAGGGAGCAGGGCUAGCCUCUCUUUUUAUCUGAGGACGAGCUUCUAGUCCUCAUUCAUUGGCUGCCUCUUAGUCCUUGUCUGAUGUCUCUAUCUUGUCUGCCUGGCCUGCGGUUCUGACACUGUGUUGGUCAGCGGAUCUCCAGAGGCAGCUGGAGAGAGACAGAUCAUGAGGGCACCACAGUACAGGCCACCUCCACCUACCAUCUUUGUUGGGAUUCUGGCCUGAGUUCAAAAUUGUGAGGGUCAGAGGAGCCCCUGCUGCGAACCUCAGCUCAAGGACAGGAGACUUACGGGAGAGUCCAGCCUUCUCAAGCUGCUGUUGGCAGACUGAGCUUGUUGGAUGGUUCUAACUCUGGUCUGUUGGCUCUUCCCAGGCUCUGGGCAGACUGGAUCAGGCUUCCUAGGGGGUGGGGGGAAGAGCACUUUAGGUUAAAUGGAUCCAGACACACCCAGAAAUGACACAUAAUUUGGACAUCUCAGGUGCAACUGAGAGGACAUCGGAAUUAACCACCAUGAUGACCUCCUACAGCAAAGACAAGAUUUGGAGUUUUCUUUCUUUUUAUUUUUCCUCCCUAUCCUUACUCUUUCUUCCCUUCUGUCUCCCUUCCUGUCCUUUUUUCUUUUCCUUCUUUCUUUCUUUCUUCCUCCUCCUCCUCCUCCUCCUCCUCUUCUUCUUCCUCCUCCUCUUCUUCCCCCUCCUCCUUGUCCCCCUCCUCCUCCUCCCCCUCCUCCUCUUCCUCCUCCUCUCCUCCUCCUUUCUUCUCCUCCUCCUUUCUCCUCCUCCCCUUCUUCUUCAUCAUCUUCUUCUUAGACAGGGUCUCAUGUAGCCCAGACUAGCCCUGGACUUGGUAUGUAGCUCAGGAUGCCCCUGAACUCCCAGUUCUUUUGUCUUCACAGAAAUGGCUCCAGGAUUGCAGGGCAACAUCAUUAAGCCUGGCCAGCAAAGUGACAUUAGUUUUAAAUAUUUUGGGUCUAGAAGUGGGAUCUGCUAGCUGGGGUUUUAUUUCUUAUUAAAAAGAAAAACAAAGGAAACGGAACCACCCCCUCAAACUCCAACAACCCCCCCAAACACCAAACCCUCCCCAGUGUGUCUGCAAAGUGGAAUCCCCAUCUUCCUGUGUAACAUCAAGAAUCUUCCCUCACCGCAGCCUGUGGAUCUGGGGCUGUUGCUGAUGAGGACUUUUAGCCCACCGCUUUGUGGACAUUGCAGUACUGAUGGGACCAUCCCCGUGGCCUCUGAGAGGCCAGACACUCAAGAUGUCUGUUGAGGGUGUAGAUGGCGUUAACAGCUGCCUGAGUUGCUGGGACUAAGGCAGAGUUUUCUCUGUGGUUCCCUCUGCAGCCAAACAGGACUCAGGGUGGUUUUACCAGGAAGACAGAUGAGCUUGGCUAUUCAUGACAGACUUGCUCCAUGGCUGGCUGUGUUUUACAGCCGCAUGGCCUCAUGUGAUGUGGAAGCCUUAGGUCUCCAAAUCGUCUUAGAAACGGUCUCAUCUCCAGGAGUUUUAAAUCAAAGCCGGCAGAAAUCUUGUCUGAGGUCGGGAGGGGCUGGUCCUUGGGUUGGGUGUGACUGAGUAGACAGGACUCAGGGGCCCUUCCCUUUGGGGAACAGCCUUGCCUCUGCGCUCUGGGCUUUGAGCUGAACUUGUGUUUAAAAAGAUGAAUCUCAGAUUAAAAAUAGCUGAAGAAUUACAGCCCUCACUCUGAGGGUCUUCAUCCUGGCUGUGUCCUGGAGUCCCUUGGCAGGAGGGUUAUAACUACCCAGGGAUCUCUGGGGGGAAUUAUAACCACCCAGAGCUUGACACCUAGAAUCCAUGACUCAGUGAGUUUGUGAUGGGGUUUUAGAAUCAGCUUUGUAAAAAAAAAAAAAAAAUUAAAUGAACAAAUGAAUGAAUGAAUGAAUGAAUGAAUAAAACUUUCUAGAAGAUUCUAAAUAUCACCAAAGUUGACUAAUUGAGUAUGCCAUUCUUUGUUGGAAAGGGAACUAGAGGCACCAAGAGGCUAGCGGCUCAUGUGGAGUCUCACACCACCUGCUCUCCGGGCUGGCUUAGAACUUUGAUCUCGUGGUUUAUUACCACCUUCGGGUUUUUGAGAUAGGCUGGCCUUGGACUUGUCCUUGCUUUUCAGGUUCCAUGGCACUCUCAUCUCGAGCAAGGAAGGUAAUAACCCCCCAGGAACUCGACUCUUCUGCAGCCUCGUUUUCACACGGGCAUACAUUUCCAAUCAGACGUUUGAGUUUCUGGAGGGAAAUAGAAACCUUGAGGCCAGAAAGCACAUGGGUAUUUAUACUGCCUCUGGGAAACAGGCUCUGGGGUCACACUGCACGACCCAAGACUACACAGAGGCACAGUCCCCAGAGGACAAGCUCCCAUACUCAGAUGGAGUAUGGCUUUAGCUUUAUAUGUGCUCAAUUCCCAUCCCGGGCCUGGGGGCUGGGGGGUGGGGGCCAUCCAGAUGCUAACUGGAGGAUGUAGACACACGGUCAACACUGGCAAAGGUUUCCAAGGCCAGUUUCAGCGCUGCCUUAUCCUUUGAGAACUGGUGGAGGGCUUUGGUGGUGCACGCCUUUAAUCCCAGCACUUGGGGAGGCAGAGGCAGGAGGAUCUCUGUGAGUUCAAGGUCAGCUUGGUCUACAGAGUGAGAUUCUGUCCCAAAAAGGAAAGACAAAAAACAAAAAUAAAUAAAAGAACUAAAAGGAGCCUCACACACAAGCGAACCCGAGGACUGGGUUCGAUAUAAACACUAAGCACAGUGGGGCAUGCUCAUAAAACCGGUACCGGGGAGGUGGAGACAAGGGAAUCUUGGGCUCGCUGGUUAGUUGGUGUAGCUGUAUUGAUGAGAUGCAGGUCCAGUGAGACCCUGUCCCAGAAAAUAAGGGAGAAUGAUAGAGACACGCACUGCGGCCCCACCUUCAUGGAUCCUUCUCCAAGGGAGUCAAGAUGCCGUGCGCAGGAUGAGCAGAGGGAGAGAAGGUUCCUUAUUGACGCUUCAGCUGAGCUCCUGGCCAACGGCCAGUGCUGACCACCCACCCAUCCAUGAGCAGUUGUCCUGGUUGUCCCCUUAGACGAUCCCUCUAACGCCUGGGAGCCAAAGGACCCUGUUGAACCUAAUCACCGGCCAGUCCCGAGCACUGAGAAAUGACUGUCGCUUGCAUUGUAUUUGUAUGUGUACACAGGGUACACAUGGGGUUCUAUGUACACAUGCAUGACCAUGUGGAGGUCAGAGAUAAUGUCAGGCGUCAUUCCCCAGCCUCCUUCUCAGGUCUCUCCACCCUUUUUGUUUUGUUUUGUUUUGUUUUUGAGCCAAGGUCUCACUAGGUAGACCCGGCUGGCCUGGAACUUAAAGGGAUUCAUCUGCCUUUGCCUCCUGAGUUCUGCGUUCAAAAGUCUGCGCCAUCACACCCGUACCCAGCUCUACCUGAGCCUGAAGCUCACCGAAUAGGCUGGGCUGGCUGACUGGUGAGCCCCAGAGGUCCUCCUGUCUCUACCUCCCUAGCUCAAGGUUUAUAAACUCGUGUGUCACCUUGCCCAGCUUCUCCCGUGGCAUUCGAACUCAGGUCCUCGUGAGUACAAUGAAUAUUUUACCAACUCAGCAGAACCUGGGAAACGUUAUGUUUGUUGAAUGACGUCGUUGGGGGGGUAGCUGCAGCAGACAAUGACAGUGAGUACCUUACUUGGCACUUCCUGUUUCCUUAAUGAUGUUAGGACCUCUACAGUGGCUGAGCCUCUGACUUUCCUUGAGCUUUGUGUGACAGUUUAGAGUUCUGCAUCUGUGCAUCUGAGAGUGGCUGCCCAUGAUUCCCCUGCACAACCCCUUAAUUACUCUACCCAUCCUAAGGGGUCAUGGGAAGUAGAAACUUCUAGUUCUUUGGAAAGUCAGUUACUCCAAAUGAUGGUUUGCUGGGGGCACACAGGUGAGAGGGUGUCUUGCUAAAGCAAACACAGGAAAGAGUGUUUUCCUGAAGCAGACACAGGUGAAAGGAUGUUUGCAUAGAACAAACACGUGAAAGGACCCGUGAUGAAGGAGUAUAAAUCUGACCCACAGAUAGUGAGACAAGAGCCUUGGUUUGCUUUGCUCUGCCUCACUAUUCUUUGCUAAAGACAUGCACGUAUGGCUUCGCCUUACAUAGCGUUGUUGAGCUCAGCUUGUGGUAACGCCGCCAUCAAGAGAAACUCGCCAAAGAACCUCUCUUGAGGCUCCUGCUGCAGCUUGCCACUUAAGCAGCCUCCGGCCGGUUGGCAAACCUGCAGUUUCUUCAGGAUUGAACUGUAGCUGCUGGCUUGUGUGUGGUGUCUGCCUGCUGAGAGGACUAAACUGUAGCUGCUGGUUCGUGUUUGGCAUUUGUUAUGGGACUGAACUGCUGACAAAGAUUGUGUUUGCCCCCAAAGAACUAUUGCUAAGCAGGUCCACUUCCCCCAUAGCCUAAUAACUUUUCUUGUCCACUACCCCUGGAGGACAGUGGGCAAGAGGAGAGGUUGAAUGCUUAUUAAAAGUAUGUUGCAAAAAAUGUAUGCCUACUGUCAUGGCCAACUGCACAUAGCCAGCUUGCCAUCUGAGCUAAUGGCACUAAGCUAGGCUCCUUGAAGCCAGAUGCAGGCUGUUUCCGCUGAGCUUACACAAUGGCCAACCAUGCUCCAGUCUAUUUAAAAUAUUUAAAACCUUUGGCUCUGAGACCUUGACUUCAUCACUAUCCUGUGGAAACCAAGGCAAAUCUCAUUCCUAAAAGUUAGAAACAGCAUGGAGAGGAGAGGAGGAGAGGACCAGAGACUGUCACAGGACCCUCUGCCGAGCUCACAGGGACUAUGGCAGACAGGGACGUGGCCCGUGUUCCUGGAAGCACUCAGGCCCCGGUCACACACUCUACUUUGAUUGUAAGUACGGGUUUGCCUUCGCUAAUGGCAGGCUUGGUUGAUGAGUGUUAGCAGAGCGUGCCUGGCCGGAGUUAUCUGCUGCUGUUGUACCCAUGGAUGCUGGCCAUUUGACCUCCAGCUCCCCACCGUCUGUAUUUCUGAGCUGAGAAUGUGGGGAAGCUAGUUCUGAUUGCUUACCUGGGAAGGCUGUCGUUAGUCCCCAUGGAUAGGGUCCUCUAGAAAAUGCCUGAAUCUGCUGGAGCUAUUGGGGGUGGGACAGGGCACGAAGUAUGACUGUAGGGCAAACCUGAGCUGAGGUGUGAUGCCCGUUCUGCAGUCUCUAAGGGUCUGUUCGCCAGAGCUCUGCUCCCAGACCCAUCUAGUUAAAGAGUGUCAUCCAUGGGAAGCCCACUCAUGGUGUAGAGGCAAUCUGGGUGUUUACAGGGUACUAAGCAAGGGACUCAAUAGGGAAAUAUGGUUCCCUAUCCAGGGGCCUGUGGAUGAGAAGAACUGGUCUCAUUCUUGAGCUAACUACAAUGUUCUUCCAUUUACCCCCAAGUUGCAAGGCAGGCCACCUGUGUGUGGAGGCGACUUACAAACACACAUGUGCACACCAUACAUCUACACACAUACAUGCACCUGUGACCCCAAACAUGGAGAUUUACUUGUUCGGAGACAAUGAAGAUACUGUGUGCUGGCCUCUGUGGCUCUGUGGCAGGUCAUGACCCUGUCUCCUUCCUGUUGACCCUACCGGGACCAUCCAUUUCUGGAGCAUCUUCAGUCAUGGGGGCUAACUGUGCAGUCUAAUAUGAACUGAGGCAUGGGGACUUCAAGCCCUGUGCCGAGGUUCUGCCAAUUCAAUCUACUUGAGGCGAAAUUUCAGUCACUGGAUGAGAGGGCUCCUUCCAGAGAUUCCAGCACUCAGGGGGCUGAGACAGGAGGAUUGCUUAGAGUUCUGCAACCAAAGCCAAUAGCAAAAGUAGAUUUAAAGAUAGAACAAACCAGAACACCAACAACAACAAGCCCAAACAAACAUAGACAAUUUGGACAAGAUCAGAAGCAACUUGAUGGAGACACCUCACCCCCACCCCCGGCAUGGUGCCAUAUGCCCUUCCUGGUGUGCAGGGCUAAAGCCAAGGCCUUCAUAGUCUGGCCGUUGUGUCUUGCAGCCCAGGAUUUAAGAUGCUUCAGACUUCUGUGUUUGUAGCUUUGGGGAAGGAACUUGGGGCUUUGCACACACAAGGGUGGGCACCCGUGUCCUGGCUGUGUGCCCUUCUGCCCUUUGCCAGGACCUGUUUCUAUGGGUGCACAGGCUUUGAGCACUGCAGCAAAUUUUCCAUCAUAUCCUCAGCCGAGGGUAGGCUCGGUCUUCCAGAGAGUUUUUUUUUUUUUUUUUUUUUUUUCUUUUCAGCCUUUGUUCUGAAGGAAGAGAGGUCUCUUCACGCAACACUCAGGCCUUUCCAAUGGCACCCUGUCCCAGAAGGCUCUCUUACAUCAGGUUUUCACAACCCUGUUUGGCCAUUGGAGGUCAGGCUGUUGUGGACAGGAGCCCUCAACAAGGCCCCUCCCAGGCUCUGGUUGUUGUAUGGAGAGAGCCACUUUGUUCAUGGUGUAGCCACUGGAGUCUGCGCUCCUGUGACCAGCCCUAGUUAAACCCAUUCAGUGAUCAAAAAACAAAGACAAAGGAAAAUAAAAAGUUGCCAAGUGGGAGGUGACAAGAGGGAUGACCAGAGUCAACAUGAUCUAAGUAUGUCACAUACAGGUAUGAAAAUGUCACAAUGAAAGCCAUGGUAGUGUAUUAAUAACAAGCUAUUUAAAAGAGAAAAACCUUUAAAAACAGCAAAGUAAACUGUUGUAAAUGAUAUACCUCGACUAGUCAGAUGGGAGAAGGUCAACCAGAAAGAUGCACCUAGUUUUAGGACCAAACUCAUCGAGUUAGUGCGUGCACGCUCAUGUGCACAUGCGUGUGCUGUGCUGGGGUAUGUGUGCUUACAGGAGCUUGGAGUCCUGGGAAAUGCACACUGGGCCGGAUGCAGGCAAGCAUCAGAGGAGACAUGCUCAGGUGUCAUUGGCAAUGGAUCUUUCUGACUGUACUCUAAACACAAGACGUCCUGUGAGGAGGAGGCCGCUUAUCUAGUCUAAUGUCGCCGCUCCCAUUAUGAAAAUUUGACUUUGUGCCAUUUCCUGUGAUGCGGGCUUCCACAGGGGGUGACGAGGGCAUGUCUAUUUUGGAUUCCUCCUUCAAAAACCUCCUGGUAUCAUGGAGAUCAACUGGCACAAACAGAGCCCCGAGAGUCUCUCUCACAGAAAGGCAGAGCGUCUAUCAAUGGGGCACACUUGAGCCAGGCGGAAGGCUCCGCCAGUGGCCGUUCCAUCAACUUUGGCAGGUGUAUACACUACGCCUUUGAUCUCAGAGGUUUGCCGAAUUUAGAUGACAUAACCCGUGUUUGGUUAUCUUUCUCCAAGGUAGAAGGGACGUAAGCAGAUAUCCACUUUUGCGAGAUAAAAUUAGCACUCCUUUGCUGGAAGGCAAACAUUGCCAGCAGGAAAGCACUGAUUAAAGUACAAAGCAGACAGGGGUACCGGGCUGCACCCUCUGAGCGAAACCCCUAUUUAUAGGGAUAGGAAAUGUCUGACAUAGGCAGCGAACAGAAGUCACCACAGCCUGAAAGACACAGCUCGGUAUUGUACACUCAACAUUCUGGAAAACAGAUUUGGUUCCUAAAGUCCUAAUCUGGGGUUUGGGAAAGAAAAAAAGGAACCGAGAUAGACGUUAGCCCAGAGCAAGGGGUUGCACGGUUGGAGCUCCUGUUCCCACAUUCCAGGACCCUGGGGAACAACUGUGCCAUUCAUUGGUUGCACAGAAGAUUGGCAGAGGAGAUGUGUGUGGGCAAUUCCCGGGGCUGCUCGCCCUGGUGUGAGGCUGGUCCCAGAGGGAAUGCCCUGUGGUCGUUCCAGCCAGGGCACCAAGGGACCCUGCUUAUCACACACCUGCCUCUCGCCUUGAUGGCUGGACCUUAGGACCAUGGAUGCACCCACUGGAGCAUCUGGUCUGGGAAGAUAAAAAUGAUUUGGACCUCCUUCGCUUCCCUUCGGAAGCCAGUUGCAGUGUUCUACUUCCCGCCUCCACAGUAACUUGCUUCCCACACAACCUGUCUUACUUCAUUGGGAGCACAGCCCGGUACAUUCAUGCUUUCUGUCUCCCAAACUAAUUUGAUGUAACAGAGGAGGAAGAGAAAAAACUUCUCUGCAAUUUCUGUGUUGAAAUUAAACAUGGACUUCAUAUUGACUCACUCACACACACACACACACACACACACACACACACACACACACACAUGCUCUCUCUCUUUUUCUUCUUUUCUCUUUCUUUCUUUUUUUUGGGGGGGGGCAGGGUCUCACUGUGUAACCAUGGCUAGCCUAGAACUGGCUACAUAGACCAGGCUAACCUCAGACUCAGAGAGAUCCACAUGCCCCAAUUCCCAAGAGCUGGGACUAAGGGUGUGUGUGUCACCAUGCCUGGUUUGAUUUUACUUUUAAUGACAUCUUCUAAGCCUUGUUUGGAGUCAACAAUAUUGUUCUAUUUCCAGCUUCACUGCAUUGGUGUCUGUCUCCCCUCUCCAGUACAGCAGAUCAACACAAACCUGCCUUAGUCACGGUUCUCACACCCAUGCGCAAAGUGGACCAUGCUCUCCCGAACCAUAGGAGACAGGGCGCAGGAGGGGCAUGUGUGCUGAUCACAUUUACAAAGCCGAUUUCUCCCGUCCUUCUGCUUUCCUGAUUGGUCUGCCUCUGCCUUCUCUGGUGAGUGUUUUCUCGUUUGCACAACUCUGGGCCAUAUCCCUUAUCACACAGGCCUUUCUUUCUUGCUUUGUGAGCUCUUGGAAUUGAGUUUUUACCUAGUCACUGGAAGCUGCCGAGCCCACGGAUCUCGGAGAUAAGGCUUGCUGAGGUCUUCAGCCUGGACAGUGUGAGCUGAAGGAGGCAUUGAGAUGAGACUCUAGUUGAACAUGCCACCCUUGGAUAAAACGAUGCCACUGAGAGAGGUCCAGGGCUGAGCCCUAACUUUAUACCAGCCGAGGCCUGGGUGAGCCCUGGACCCCUUGCAAACUUCAGUCAGUGAGGGCAAAUGGGUAACAUGUCCUGUGCAGACAUCACUAGCUAAUCUGUGCACUGUCAAGCCCUGCUGAGGCACAUCGCCCCCUUGUUGAGACCUCCCCCACUGAGUCUGACCUGCUGACACCCCUCCCCCUUGUUGAGCCCCCCUCAUUGAGUCCCCCCUGCUGACACCCUCUAAGGUUCUUACACACAGAGGCAUGGGGUCCUGGCUGAUGAGGUAUUAGGAUUACUCCUGGUGACUCUAUGGCACAGGGCAAGGUGGGAACUCUUCUGAGUCUCCCAUAAGGCUUCAGAGGCCGCUUGCCCUGAGCAGGUGAUACUAUUUCCUUCCACUCUGCUCCCAGAAUGCCCUUCCCUGCUUCCUGCUUCGUAUUUGUGGGCCUGGGCCCUCUCGGCCUUCCAAGGCAGGUGGAUCUCAGGAGAAGAUGUGCUCAGGGAGACGAGAAAGAGAGAGAGAGAGAGAGAGAGAGAGAGAGAGAGAGAGAGAGAGAGAGAGAGACAGACAGACAGACAGACAGAGAGAGAGAGACACAGAGAGAGACACAGAGAGAGAGAGAGACAGAGAGAGAGACACACAGAGAGACAGAGAGAGACAGAGAGAGACAGAGAGAGACAGAGAGACACACAGAGAGAGACAGAGAGAGAGACACACAGAGAGAGACACAGAGAGAGAGACACAGAGAGAGACAGAGAGAGAGAGAGACAGAGAGAGACAGGCAGAGACUCAGAGAGAGACAGACAGCGAGAGACAGAGACCAAAGAGACAGACAGAGAGAGAGAGACCAAAGAGACAGACAGAGAGAGAGAGACAGAGACCAAAGAGACAGACAAAGAGAGAGACAGAGACCAAAGAGACAGACAGAGACAGAGACCAAAGAGACAGACAAAGAGAGAGACAGAGACCAAAGAGACAGAGAGACAGACAGAGACCAAAGAGACAGACAAAGAGAGAGACAGAGACCAAAGAGACAAACAGGCAGACAGAGAGAGAGAAGAGAGACAAACAGGCAGACAGAGAGAAGAGAGAAGAGGGAGAAGCCAGAGAAAGAUCUAUCAGAAUGGAGAGGGGUGCCCCGUUUUUUUCUGAGGGUUUAGCAUUUGUGAAUUGUUUCUCUCCUUUUAAUUACGAAAGCUUGGGGACUUUAAAUGUAAGUGCAAGCUGGUGCAGAGAAUGGUGUGCUUGUCGACAUCCAGUGGCUAAGGAUUUAUUCAGCCAUUAAAGGAAGAAGAAUAUAGAGGUGGACUUAGGACUCAGCAUCGACACAAAGGGAAACAGGCCCAGGAGCGGCAAGUGACUUGCCCAGGGUUGCCCAGCAAAGGGGCAACAGACAAAAACAUACAUGUAAAAAUCAGUCUCUAUGGUAGUGGGUCACCCCAACAUCGACUUGCCACAUGUUUCUUUUGCUGAUCUUUCUAUUGUGGAGUGGCUGUCCCGAUUUUUUAAAGGUGAGCUCUCACUCCCUCUACCAUGUUUUUCAUAGUCUGGCUAGAAAACAAUGUGUUUUCUGACAACAGGAGCUGUCCCACCAGGCUCUCUGUUGCCCUACUAUGUUCACUAUGUUUGAGGAAACUGAGCUCCAAACAGGGCAAGCACCUGAGGCAAGGAGGCACUGCCUGGAAGAAACAGAAGUAGGAUUUGGUUUCAGGGGCUUCCAGACAUCAGCUCUCAAGCUCCCUGCCACCGCUUCCUGGCCUCUGAGUCAGGACCCUGGCUGGCUACAAGGAGAGCCCUAUGCCUGUCUGGGAGCUGGCCGCAGGAUGUGGGCUGUUUACUAUUCCUGGGGCUCACAGCUUGGCCUCCAUAUGACACUGGAGGAGAAUGGAUAAGAAGACUUUGAAGAAGGUGGAGAAAAGAGUUUUGUGUCCAAACAGACAUGGUGGGAGCCAGAGGAUGGGUGGCUAGAGUCGGGCGACUCCUGUGUCGUGCAGUGACGCUGUGUCAGGACCUGGUUCUUGCGGUGACACGGUGAGGCUUGGGGCUGACUGUGGGGCUCUUGCUAGGUUCCCCCGGGGGAGGCUGGAGCAUAGUGUGUGGUGCUCACCCUCCACUGGCACUUGAAGAUAUCUGGUCUCAGCCAGAUCCACUUACCCUGGCUAAGCCCCCGAUGCUGGGGUGUAUAUGCCACAGUCCUGCCUUUGCAGCUUAGCUAUUGGGCAUCUGAGAACGUAUGCACAGUUUCCAGUUCGGUUCCUGAGGCAAGAACCGAGGCUCCUGGACAGUAGCAGGCUAGUAUCCCAGGUCACCGUGGUUACCGCUUGCUGAGCACUUCCAAUGAGACACGGGCUUUUCAUCCCCUGUUCAUGCCCCUUGGUGACAGCUAUUAGUGGGCACUGUGAUCUCAUAGAUGGGGCAUCCCAGGCUUAGCAUGGCACGGUGACUUGUCCAGGCAGCAGAAUGUCCUGGUUUUCUCCAUAGCCAUUGAACUCCUGUCGCCACGUCCUGAGAUGUAGUCACUCCUUUCUUGCCUAUAGCCCUCAUCAGGAUGCAGCAGUCAGGUCUUUGCCUUGGUUUCCCUAUAUAUAAAAUGAAGGGCGGGCAGGGCAGACCCUGCCCUGUAGGGCUACUGUGUCAAGUGAGCUUCUCUCCACACCCCUGGCUUGCCUCCCUUGAAGCUGUUAGCAACUCCUCCAGUCUCUUCUGCUGAGAAGAAAAGGCAGUGGCGUUGACACCAAGGUCUCCAGGGUGGGAGACAACUUGCACCCACACCUAUGGCUUCAAAUUCAUCAGAAGAGGUGCUAAGCCGCCAGCAUUUGCAGCUGGUUCCUGACACCUUCCUGUCCCCCUCAGGAGCAGGGUUGUCACUCAGAGCAAUUAUGUUCCCAGCAACAAGUUCCACCUGCUGCUUUUCCCACCACUGACAGGAGCUGUGACCACAGAACAGGAGCCUGAGACUUCUCUUUGCUGAGUACAGAGAGCUGUUGA